rnacentral:rRNA from 1 species
UACGUAGGGGGCGAGCGUUGUCCGGAGUUACUGGGCGUAAAGCGCACGCAGGCGGUCUGCUAAGUUUGGAGUGACAAGUUGGUGGCUUAACUGCCGAAGUGCUUCGAAAACUGACAGACUUGAGGGCUUCAGAAGGGACACGGGAAUUCCGGGUGGAGUGGUGAAAUGCGUAGAGAUCCGGAGGAACACCAAAGGCGAAGGCAGUGUCCUGGGGAGUACCUGACGCUCAGGUGCGAAAGCCAGAGGGAGCGAAACGGG